UACGAAGGGGGCUAGCGUUGCUCGGAAUUACUGGGCGUAAAGGGCGCGUAGGCGGCUCGCCAAGUCAGGGGUGAAAUCUUUCGGCUCAACCGGAAAAGCGCUUCUGAUACUGGCGGGCUGGAGGGAGGUAGGGGCGACUGGAACUUCCGGUGGAGCGGUGAAAUGCGUAGAUAUCGGAAGGAACGCCGGUGGCGAAAGCGAGUCGCUGGACCUCUUCUGACGCUGAGGCGCGAAAGCCAGGGGAGCAAACGGG
rnacentral:rRNA from 1 species